UACGUAGGGGGCAAGCGUUAUCCGGAUUUACUGGGUGUAAAGGGAGCGUAGGCGGCGACGCAAGUCAGAAGUGAAAGCCCGGGGCUCAACUCCGGGACUGCUCUGGAAACUGUUAAGCUGGAGUGCGGGAGGGGCAGGCGGAAUUCCUGGUGUAGCGGUGAAAUGCGUAGAUAUCAGGAGGAACACCGGCGGCGAAGGCGGCUUACUGGACUGUAACUGACGUUGAGGCUCGAAGGCGUGGGGAGCAAACAGG
rnacentral:rRNA from 1 species